rnacentral:rRNA from 1 species
UACGUAGGGUGCGAGCGUUAAUCGGAAUUACUGGGCGUAAAGCGUGCGUAGGCGGUUCGUUAAGUUCGUCGUGAAAGCCCCGGGCUUAACCUGGGAAUGGCCAUGGAAACUGGCGAGCUGGAGUGUGGCAGAGGGGGGUGGAAUUCCGCGUGUAGCAGUGAAAUGCGUAGAGAUGCGGAGGAACACCGAUGGCGAAGGCAGCCCCCUGGGCUAACACUGACGCUGAGGCACGAAAGCGUGGGGAGCAAACAGG